CAUCUUAGUCCCCCAGGAGGCCAGAGCAUCCCUGAUCUGAGAGUGAACAGAAGGCCUGGCACCAGGCCAAGGGUCGAGGCAAAGAGGACUUCGCUCCACUUCUGUUGAGAAGUGUUCUUUGUACCCAAUGGUACAAAGACCAGGGAUUUUGGUGACACAGCAGCCCGAGCCCAGCCUGGGUGCCUAGGAUGCAGCUUAGCUGGUCAACUGUCAGUACUACCAGGACUUGGCCCUUGGAAACCUGCGGGGUGGCAGUGCUCUACCAGGAGGGGGCCAACUCGACAAAACCAGAAAGGGUGAAACGUCCUGCACCAGAGAGUUUCAGACAUCAGCGAUGGACUGGUUGAUUGGUAGUGUUUUUGCUGAGACUGAUGGUGGACUCCCCAUCUGAGAGAUCCCAGAUUCCUUCAGGUCAAAGGUCAGCAGCUACACUGGAGCUUUCCUGACCCCCAUGUCCAGUGCCAGGUGCUGUUCUAGGAGCUGUGUACCUACUGUUUCAAUCCUCAUAACACUCCUGUGAGGCUGGCAUCAUUGUCUGCACACCUGUUUACAGAUGAGGACACAGAAGCCCCAUGAGUGGAAGGGAUUUGCCUCACGCCACAGUGAACAAGGGGAAGAGGCAGGAUCAGAACUCAGGGAGCCUGGCCGCGAGUCCUGCACUGCUCACAACAGGCUCCAGCUGCCCUCGUAUGAAGACAAGAGCUGUAAGGAUGAAGGCACACAAAAUGCCAAGUGAGAGCUCUGGCUACAGUCCCUCUCACCAUCUCCCAAGGCAAACCCUGCGGCUGUGGCCUUGGCUUUGCCAGAAACUGAUUCCAUGCUGCUCCCCCAGGGGACCUCGAAACUGCAGGUGUGCCAGGACAUUCCUGGCUGACAAGUGCGGGGUCGCAGGAGGGCUGGACGGCGUGCCUCUGUGUCCAUCAGCUCCUUGCGUGGGUGCGCUCAUGUACGGGGUUUAAUGAAUGAAAUGAUUAAAACCUGG
rnacentral:lncRNA from 1 species